rnacentral:rRNA from 1 species
CAAUAGCGUAUAUUAAAGUUGUUGCAGUUAAAAAGCUCGUAGUUGGAUUUCUGGUCGGAAGCUCCUGUCCUCUGAUGAGCGUACAAGUGCGUCCUACCAUCCUUCUGUUAACCUUUAAGGCUUUCGCGGCUUUCUAGGGGCUCAGAUAUUUUACCUUGAGAAAAUUAGAGUGUUUCAGGCAGGCUAGCGCCGGAAUACAUUAGCAUGGAAUAAUGGAAUAGGACUUUUGCCUCUUCUGUUGGUCAUGAGGCUCGAGUAAUGAUUAAUAGGGAUAGUUGGGGGCAUUAGUACUUAACUGUCAGAGGUGAAAUUCUCGGAUUUGUUAAAGACUAACUUAUGCGAAAGCAUCUGCCAAGGAUGUUUUCAUUAA